UUUUUUUUUUUUUGAGAUGGCUCUUUCCUGGAACGAAAUUGUGGCAGUGCUGCUGACGGAUCAUGAAGUCAGUGUUUACGUUGGCGAAUCAUGAGUACUGUUACCCAAAAAUGGAUAUUUGCCAAUUAGUGAUAGUUCACCAGAUGGUUUUAACUAUUAUUAUAUGGUUUUAAACGCUACUGAUAGACCCGCUUAGAUCCACUCAGUUAAUCUAUUAGCGGGCUGGUUAGAAUUAGUCAUUGGACUAAGCAAAGAGUUUCUCUGUCCCAAACUAUAAGGUGAUUUUAACUUUUUUUUUUAAUUCAUAGAUUUUACUAUGCACUUAGAUAUAACUUAUAUCCAAAUACAUAAUAACAUUUAUGAAUUAAAAAAAUUUAUAAUUGAGGAGGGGGGAGUAUUAGCGAGUGCGUCUAGAUCCACCCUAGCUAAGAUUAGCCGGACUGAAAUGGAUUCACAGAUUGUUACCUGGUUUUCAAUAUUCGUUGAAUUUCUAAAAUAGUUGGUACUUGGUAGGUCUUACGAAUGCUGAUGGGUAGUGGAAAUGGACUUGGAAGUUGUACCGCAAGAAUUUCCAAGGAAGAGAGAGAGUGGGCGGCAUAUGGCCCAUCAUUUGGCAAGGAGGGGAAGCCCGGGAACAACAUCGGCCCAUGUGGGAACAGAGUACCCACUAUUGGGAAAUAUGAUUAGGCCCAUGUGAGAUCCGAUUAAAUAUAGAUAUCAAUAAUUAAUAUGGAUCUAACGCUAGGGGAUGUAGCUCAAAUGGUAGAGCGCUCGCUUUGCAUGCGAGAGGCACGGGGUUCGAUCCCCCGCAUCUCCAGAGUUUUUUUUUUUGCUUCUGCACUGAAUUAGGAGUAUACUGACUAAGUAAAAGCACAAACGAGCAUGUAAGACCAUGGGCCUCAAAGUUAAUCCCAGAUCAUGCGCUUCCUACCCCACAAAAAAAUUUGCUGGUUGACGGUGUACAUUCAUAAGUAAUUUGUUGCUCUGUCGUGCAUGCAGCAAGCAAAUGGCAACACCCUUGAUUGAACUAUGCUGCAUCAGAUUACCUCUGUCUGAAGCUCUACAGAGUACAGACUUCCGAGGAUAAUUUCAGACGGGAACAUUAUAAGGUUUUGAGUUCAUCGGGCAACAGAAGUUCCAUGCCAUGUUAGUAUGUUACGCUCUUGCGCUUCUCGGCAGGCAGAUCGCGAUGUAAAAGGAAAAUGUGAAAGUAAAAAAUCAGAGAGGAGAAAGGGGACAGUGACGAGGGGACCUUUCGCUUUUACUCCUUUUGCCCUUUCGUGAGAUGGAAUGGAAUUCCCCAGAUUCAACCACCACCUAAGCUUUGCCCGCGCCCCGAAGAGAUCACGAUUCGCGUCGUGGUCGUCACCUUUGACUAUGGUGCGAACGCAUGAGAUCAUCCGAAGAUGGGCGAACUCGCUGGUACGUUGUUCUUGUUCCCACUGCAAUCUGCACAGUCGUUUCCCACGAGAGCGAAAGCGGUACUCAGGCGCUGUGUACGCAAUUUUUUUCCGGACUGAUGAUACUUGACUACUGUUCAAAGAAGCCGACGUAGGAGGGGUUCGGAGCCUUCAGUCUUCAGUCUCAACUCAUUUCUUUCGCUGGAACUGGUUGCUAGGAGUAUCGUCUAAUGAUCGUGCCUUCAAAUCCGUUUUUCUUACUCUCUGCUUCCUGUUCGCACGAUAGCCCUUUGUAUAAACUCAUCGUGUUCUCUAAUCCUCUCAUAUGCAUCUUGACAUCAUGACAUGCAACAAUGGAAUGACCAGACCUGCUAUAUAUAAUAAACAGCACGGCGCAACAGAAGCUACAAGAAUCAAGAACGGAUGCAUCGUUUGACACCGUCGACUCGAAAAAAGAAAUGCCCAUUAAGCAGCUAGAAAACGGCGACGCACCUCCGACCCACUCCUUUGAUCGAUUGGCUUUUGCCUAAACUAGCUAAGAAAUCCAACACCGUUAGCUAGCUAGUAGUACUCCGAGGCGAUCCGCAGCAAGGUCAGCCUGUCACCGCACGAAGUCAGCGGAGCCGUGGCCGUCGUCGAAGUUGAGGGCGUAGCUGAGGGCGUCGUAGUGGAAGCUGCUGAACCGGCUGCCGCCCCUGCGCCACCUCCCCGCCCGCUCCGAGUGCAGCCUCCGCAGCCCGGCGCGCAGCCUCCAGUAGAGGCUCCUCACCAGGUACGACGACCUGCCCUUGCAGGCCCCGCUCGCCACCGCGGCCUCCACGGCGACCACCACCGCAGCCAUCCGCGUCCGAGACUCGGAGAGCAGGAGAUGGUGCCAAGAGCAAACGGUGCGCAGCUGCAGCUCUCCUUUGCUUGGUGGCGCAGCCCUGCAGCGUUGGUUUGUGUGGAGAUUGCGAUGCGGGCAAAGUGCCGCGAGGGCGGUGGAAUAUAUAACUCGUCUCUCCGUCCGAUCGGACGGAGCUUUUCCCCGUCCGGUUACGCCCAGGGCAGGUUUUAACAGCGCUGCGUGCGCCCACGAGCUGGGGAAUGGAUCGGUCCGAUCGGCGGGGGGUGGUCUGUCUUGGUGGACUACUGGGUGCCUGCUGGGCCGUGUGGAUCCAGCUCGCGAUGGGUCGCAGCACUGCCACACCCCACCAUGUGGGCGGCUGAGGAAUUUUUGGCAUGGCUAUUUCGGCCGCCGCCGCAUCGGGCGCGGAAUGUUGGGCGCGCGCGCGGAUCUCCGUGCCGGUCACGGAGACGGCAUGGACUCGUGCCGCAGCUACAGCGGACCGCCUGCGCCGCUGCACGCGCGCUCCGGGGGGCGGUGUGCCUGCCUUCGGGGUGCGAGACCGUGGAAAGGCGCGAGCGGCCUUGCGGCUCUUGGACGAGCGUCAGCGGCGCACAUUUUCUCCAUGUUUUGCGUUCCGCCUGCAGCCUGCGUCUUUGCCUCUUUGGUUGGCUGCAGCCUGCAGCAGUGAGCGGCAGCGGUUGACCCACUGCUGCAUUUGCAUCUGCAGCGCUGAGAGGUUGCACAAGGUCGGAUGAUGCAGAUAGCGUCCUGGCUAGCAAAACACACUGGAGCUGGAUAUACAUGUACCCUUGGCAACUUGGUCCAAGCACAGUACAACAUCGAGCCUCGACUAGUAGUACUUCUGUACCGGGAAGUCGAUCAUGUACGUGCAUGUCAGCAGACAGUAGUCCUUGUGUCCUUCCUUCAGUCAUCAGUGUUAUCCCGCGUCAGCUCGUGGUGUAGACUUUUGGAUGCAGGCAUCCGAACUUUUGUGAUUGUUCGACGCCAGCUCGCGACGCGAAGUAGCGUCACAUCGAUCGCCCCAGUCGCCUCGCCUGGCCACUGGCCUCCCCCAAAGCACGGCCAUACGCCGAUACGAGCAGGACAGCCGCUGCCGGAAAUGUACUAUCGAACGAACUAUUUUUCUCUCACAACAAAUUAGCCGUUUCAGCUUUUCAGCCGGCUCAUAAGUCUAGCUCGUAAUUUAAUACUUGCCAGUGCAGUUUCUAACUCUCCACAGUAGGAAACACAGUACCGCACUAGCGCGACGUCGGCUCUGCAGAUUUGUCUGCUGGUUCGACGCGACCACUCGGCCCUUCCCCAUUAUCCUGUAUCCGAUCCCGUUGCGGGGGGAGAGGCGCGGAUGCACGGAUCGAAAACGCUUGUCUUUGGUGAGCCCAGCCCUGGAGCUGACGAACUCUGAUGGGGGCGCCUGAAUUGAUACUUCGAUCGAUUCUCACGAUGCUUCGCUUGCCUUUUACCCCCUGGCCGGACCCCGGAAGCUGCGAGAUGCACGCUGAAACAGUGAGGUUGGGCCGUGCAGAGCUGGUGGCUGUGAUGGCGUACGGUACCAUUUUUUUUUUAUUUGACGGAACCUAUCACUUUCCCUCGUCUGAUGCAUCGUGCAUUCCCUGGCACCAGCAAAUCAAAGAAUGUGUUUUUUUUUCCUUUGAGAACACGACAAACCGUUCGUCGUUCUGAUCGGCUAAUACUAAUACUCGCCUCCAAACCUGUUGGUAAGUGGGCUUUGCUGAAGGCCCAAAAGGCUUGGUUUGGUACUGCGUUCGUUCUCGGAAAUCUAGGCCUGCAUGCACGCGCGGGUGGGGGGAUUUUUGGGCCACCUGGAUGGGCCAUGCCCAUGCCUCCCAUUCACUUCGCACGGCACGGCCCAAAUCAGUGCAAAUAUCCUGGACCUUCCUCCGUCCUCUAAUUCCUCAGUCAUUUUCGGGGGCCGUAGGCCGUAGCAUUGCUCCUCCACAACCACAAGAACCAACACGGCAACCUCCUCACGAGUGACAGCGAUGGACGGACUAACAACAAGCUGCGUCACGCUUGACAGAUGGCAACUGACAAUGAUACGUGAGGAAGAGCCGAAGAAACAACUUUUCAUAUUCACCAUAGUUCAGUAUAGAACAGGGUUGUGGCCUGUGGAAGGGUCGAAAGUCGAAUAUCAGUCAAACUCCAUCUGUAUCCAUGUCCUUCAAGUCGAAUAGAUUUUAAUUGAUGUUCUUUUCUCACUUUAUUCUUAAAAAAAUUAUAGAUCCACACAAAAUUGCGCCAUCCAUUCUCCUUUUUUUCAAUAAAACAUGGUUAUGACCUCAAGCUCUAAGAGAUAAACUAUAAUGGAACGAAGAAAUGCUUCAAACACCCCAACAGAGUUCGGGAUGAGAGAAACUAUUAGCUGAUCUUAAUGCCAAAAUUACAUCCGCGUGAGGUCGUAUCCAAUGUACAGCGUGCAAGAACACCAUGUCCUUAUAAGGUGAAAAAGAGGUAUGAUGCAGCGCAGUAGAGGAUACUUUAAAGUGAAACGACUGUUAUAGUUCGGCGUUCAUAGCGUCUUGUUUCAACAACAGAAAAAUAGUUUGUGUGAAAAACAGUUUGUGUGAGGAUAUUUCCUUUGAGAUAGUGAAGGUGAACUAGAUUUACACCACGCCAGGUUCUCAUUCUUGGACCCUUCCAACUAUCUUUCACAUCCGACCCUUCCAACUAGCCCACUCAAGGAAACAAAAAUCCUAGCUUGCCUACCAUAGUACCACUCAUGGCAUCAUAUAUACGUCACACCUUUUCGCCAUAAACAGUUUGAUCACGUCACAGACUCACAGCGUCUCAAGUAUCGAUUCGCAAAACAACAAGAGUAAACAACUAGUGUCUUGCGCGCGCCCCUGCGCGAAUUAGGUAGUACAGAAGAACAGGCGAUUAAUAUUAACCUGACAUAUAUUGAUACAUGUUGUACACCACAUUGUGCAGGGUGAUCUAACGUAGACGGGCAUAAAAAAAAAAGGGGAGUUCCGCCUUUAAUUACUAACAAACUAUAUCCCGCAGAUACCAUGGUGGGAGCUGGUACAAAGGAAAAGGUUGAGAAAACUAACAUCAAUUAAUGAGAGCUCCGUGGAGGGAUGAGUGAAUUGGAAAACGAGACGGGAAGAUAAAGGUAGUAAACAUACAGGAGCGAGGAAGCACCAUUAGUUAGGGUUAUGAAGAAUAAUCAGGUGGUAAAUGUCGAUCCAAUGGCAGGAUGUACAAAUCGAGGUUCCAAAUCCAAUCCAAAUAGAAAAAUGAAUAUAUAUCUAUAUAUAAUUAUUUAAUCUCUAAAUCACAACAAACACCUUCAGUAACAUCAGCCCAAAACCAGAAGCAGGGAAAGAGGAGUCGGAGGGGAGCAACACAACGCGGCAACUGCUACACAUCGUCGCCGUCGCGGCGCUAAGGGGCAGCAGGCGACGGCAGGAGGUGUAGAAAGCGGCGCUGCACUUUGGGGCGAAGCAGAGCAAGCGAGGGUAUCUCGAGUCUUCCGAGCCUAGAUUUUUUUACCGAUUGAAUCACCGUUUCACGUGUGGGCCGCACGGUGAGGCGGAGUCCUCAACGUAGACUAGCUAUCGACGUGGGUAGCGCGGUUACGCGCCGCGUUUGUUAUAUUCUAAUGGCGUGGACUGGGACGAGGCAAUUCGGAGCUUACCUGCCCCGUCGGGUAUCCUUUUACGACUGACACGUAGCGGAGAGAAAAGAGGAAGGAUGUGUUGUGCGGUACUAAACUUUAUUCCCACGUUAGAUGAACUAAACUAAAUUAAAAUAAAAAUCCUUUUACCUUCUUCCCUACCCUCCUGCUACCCCAGCACCUACUACCGCCGGAACUCCAACUAUCGCUGGUUGAAACUUCUGCCCACUGUCCGCCGCACCUAAUCUCCAUCUCCGACGACGGUGGAGCAUUGCCCGGACGUGCCUAACCUACCCCGCCACAUGCGAACUCUUGCGCGGUGUAGGCAAGAUCCUUCGUGUGUCGGCGAGUAACGAAGCGAGCGGAGGAUUGGCCCGAACAGAGGAGCCUUGAAUCGGCGACGAGACGGAGGCUCGUCGAUUCGACCGCAAGGUGAGCUCAAGCGGGUGGCGUCGCGUUGAUUUGGACGCUGGGAAGCUCAACGAGGCAGCGGAGCGUCGAUUUGACCGUUGAAGGACCCCGAUGGGGUGCGGCAGUCCUUCUCGUCACCUCUACCCUAUGGCGGGCGAGCACCGUCGCACGUUGAAGCUUCGCCGACCUAGCUGCGGGGCAAGCGAGCUCCAACGGUGCAGUCGAGCGCCGCUGCGCAGGUGAGGGGAAGAAGCAGCGGUGGACCCGCAUAGGUAGGCAGCGACGGCGAGGGGAGGGGAGCAGCGAUGGGUAGGCGCAAGCGGAGGAACGGCUGCAUGGGGAGGCGAGCAAAAUGACGACGAUGGCGACGGGCGGGAAGGAGCCGGUGGGAGAGAGCGAUAAAUGAGGAGCAAGGAUGUCCCAGAACACCUUAGUCCAAUUUUAUGAAUUAGAGGACCAAAGGGUGUAAUCCGAACUUUAAUCCACCUGUUUGGGGUGCUUAGAACUAAAAGUGCAAAUUUCUAAAAAUCUUUAGUCUGCGCGGAACGUUUCAUGGAGAUAAUGGUACCGGCGGGACCAAAGAACCAUUAUAUAUUUUUUCGGUAUAUAUUGUAGAAAUUACUCCGAUAAUUUAUUUUCAACUACUUCCAUAAAAAUUAAAAAAAUGAAUGCUACUUUUUUUAAAAAGGACAGUUUCUACGUAUUAUUGCGCACAUUUUCUGAACAAAAGAAAAUCAAAAUAUUCAUAUGCAAACCAAUUUUCUUUUCAACAUACAUGAACCACGCGAAUGUUGCUGCAAACAUCUUCCAUCUAUUUUUUCCGCAAAUGUUACAUAAGGGCAAUUUCAUAACAAAGUUACAGGCAUAUAAAAAUCAUAAAAAUACUUCAUUGUAUUAGAAAGCAUGAGCUUGCAAGAAAAAUAAAAAAACAACUACUUUCAGAUCUUCAAAAAUAGUGGAAGGCAUAAUUUCAGAUCUUGUGCUCUUCUCAAGAUGUUUUCGAGUGAUGUCCAGACACACAACAUCCACAUCUUCCAAUCUCGCAAGAAACACCAAGCAAUAACAUGUUUGUCGCCGCAUUACUUGCUGUAGUUGUACGCGUGGGGAAGGUUAGGGUCUUGGGGGAUCCACAAAGACCGUAGCGGGACCCUACCUCCUCCUAAUGGCACAUGCCUUCUCCGGCGAUGUCGAGCCGUGCGCCGCCGUGGGGAGGCUAGCGGGGGAGGGGGAGCACCUAUGGUGGAGGAUCCGAAAGUCGAUGGCCUUACCUUUCAAGGAUUGCACCGGAUCUGGGCUCCAAGCGCGUGGCGCCGCCGGCCUCCCCAGCGAGCUCCUCACUGUAGUAGCUCGACGCACGGGGAGAAAUCUUCCAUGGAGGCCGCCGGCGGCCGAGGGGAUCCUGGCGCCUCCUCCAUGGAUCAGGUGCGGCUACAUCGUUGCCGCCCGAUGGAUCCGCUGGAGCAUUGUCAUGACCCGCCUGCCCCACCGCCUCCGCACCUUGGCCACCUCGCCGGAUUAGGGACUCGGUAGAAACUGAGAAAGGAAGAGAUGAGGAGAGAGACGGAGGGGAAAAUGAGGAGGAGAGAGAAUACCGGCAGUAAAUGGCGGAAGGUGGACACCGGGUCCUUAAUUACUUCCGUAAUCGCUUUCUCUCUCUCGAAACGUUCGGCCGUUGAUAUUUGAUCCCACGGGGCAGGAAACCACCUCCGGGGUAAAUGCCAUCCGAAGUUGAUUUUCGCGUGGACUGGCAGCAAAUUUUCUAACAAUCCAGCCAAAGCCUGCACCUCUCGUGUGCCCGUGGU
rnacentral:lncRNA from 1 species